UGCUGAUGAUGUGGACAGUCCCAAACAAGAGCUUUGAACCUCUCCCAUGCAUGAUAUAAGUUCUCAUCUGGUCUCUAUUUGAAACUUAAAAUCUCACUGCACAGUCU
rfam:Capsicum annuum cultivar Zunla-1 chromosome 3, whole genome shotgun sequence